GUAAGAUGGAGAGAUCAGUGCUGAUGAGGCUGUAGAGUGUGUGAGGGAUGUGAAUGAGGAUGAUGAAGAUCUGAUGAUAGCAGAUAAAAACAGGCUGCAGAGACUUUGAGCCAUACAGGGCACACAGUGUGUGUACAGAACAGCUGAAAUCAUUAUGGAGGCCUCACUGGGAUAUGGAAGCAUCACAGUACAGCUUCAGUGAAGCUUUAAAGUCUCUGAUAUGAGAUGAGAAAUGAAGCAGCCAGAGCUUUUUCAUGAGUGGAAAUCCACUGUGACUGUGAGCUGCUGCUACAGCCUCCAGAUUAGCCAGCAGCUCAUCCUGCUCAACAUUUCCUCACCAACUUUAAUGGAAGUGUGAUGUUUUCAGCUGGAGUGAUGGUCAGGGUGGCCUCCCUCUCCUCUUCUUCUCCUCUUCCUCUUUCAUUUGUAAAGCCACUUCUGCUGCUUUCAUUCAUUUGGAAGUCCUGUAGCUGAGUUUGGGAGAGACUAACAGCCUCGGCAGCAGAGGGGAGAAAGGCUGUAACACCACCACUUUACUCUGUUCUACCUGUCACAUCAUUUUAUCAGGAAACAAAUAUGCUCAUGUUUUUACUAUGUUUGUCUUGAAGAUGUAAGAAGAUCACAUGGUGCUUUUUAUUAUUGUGUUGGUUUGUUUCGCUGUCUCUUGGAUGGAGCCCAGCUGUGCGUGGCCCCUGGGCCUGUGGUCAGAGUGUGUGCUGGAUAAUCCGGCCCAGGAUGAGGCCAAACUGACAUGGGAUGAAAUGUCUGUGCUGGAAGCAAAUGAGUGUGUGAUGUUCUUUCAGUGUUGCACUUUGUAGACGCUCCCUGAGCACUGGUCUCACAGCCAGCUGCACAUAGAGACCAGUGUUGUUAGUCCAGGUCAGAAGAUGACUUGUUGGAAUGAAAAUGAGCUUGUAGUUUGUCUGCUUUAAUAAUGUGACUGGAAAAAGGUGUUGGACUUCAAAUAUGUCCAUUUCUUUCACACUUCACCUUUAAAAGUGAAGCCUUGUGGUUCCUGGAAGGAAAAACACGACUUUUUCAAGUCUUUGUCCUGUUUUUAUGAGAAAUGUACGACUUUAAUGUGAAACAUUCAGAGUUUUUUCUCUUGUUGUGUUUGUUUGAAGCUGCUUCCUGUUGGCUUCAGCUGUUUGGAGUUUCCAUUUUCUAAACUUCUACAUUCUGAACCUUCUUCAGCUCUGAACAGAUGAUGAAACACUGAAUGAUUUCAAGCUCACACUUUGUCUAAUAAACUUACAUCUUUCAUUCUUUAUACAGAUUGAGGGCUGUGGUUUGUCAGAGAUCAGCUGUGAUUAUCUGGCAGCAGCACUGAAGUCCAACCCCUCCCAUCUGAGACAGCUGGACCUGGGAGGAAACAACCUGAAGGAUCCAGAUGUGAAGCAGCUGUCUGAUCUUCAGCAGAGUCCAGACUACAGACUGGAGACUCUGGUGUGGAGGAUGAUGGUAAACAGGACGGUGUGUGUGCUGAGAGAGGAGGAGCUGUGUCCUGAUGAUCCAGAGAGGUUGAAGCAGCAGCAGCUUGUGUGUAGAGACGCUCUGACUGGGCCAUGUUACUGGGAGGUGGAGAGGAGAGCUUCAUCCAGCAGUGACUGACAGAGGAAUGAGAAGAAGUGCAGAUGACUGUCAGUGCUGCAGAGUGAACUGCUCUGAGAACAGCUCCACUGUCAGACACAAUGUAGAGUCCAGCAUCAUCCCUGUGUGUCCCUCUGGAUCUGACAGAGGAUCAUCAGUGUAUCUGGACUGCUCUGCUGCUGCUCUGUCCUUCUACAGUCUCUGCACAGUCUCUGUCUGACUCUGGCUUCAGACCCUCCUGGAUCAAACUCACCUGGAAAGACUUUCAAACAUCACUCAAUAGAUUUGAAUACAGAAUAUAUUUGAUAUAUACUGUAGAUGUACUGUAGAGUUGCAGUUUGUCACUUGUAAAUACAGUCUGUGAGCAGCUGUGAGCUGAAAGAUCUUUCUAGAAACACGAAAUGUUUUCACUCUUCUGUUGCUUUUUCAUAUAUUUCCACAACAUUAAUAUUGAUCCCACCUGUCUCACCUGUUUCAUGCUUUUAUACAUAAUAACAGGACACGUGUGAUCUGAGCGCUGCUGUGGUUGCUGUGCUGCACGUCUUCAUUUAGAUAACAGAGACAUCUAGUGGUUCAGAGGGAGAACUGCAGGAGGUGGAGCUGUGUUUUAGCAUGGAAAACUUUUUAUCUUUUAGGCGCAGAUACAAAUAUGACAAGUAUCAGUGUGAGAUACAAAAGGUCACAUCAGUCAGCAGAGGGAACAGUGAUCACACAGCAAUGUAAGAAUAGAAACAUAACAGUGAAUCUGGACAUGUAUACAGAUGGAAGCAAACAAACAGGAUGUAACACUACAUUAAAGCCACAAAUGGGAA